rnacentral:rRNA from 1 species
UACGUAGGUGGCAAGCGUUGUCCGGAAUUACUGGGCGUAAAGGGCGUGUAGGCGGAUUUUUAAGUCAGGUGUGAAAUCUUUGGGCUCAACCCAGAGUUUGCAUUUGAUACUGGAAGUCUUGAGUGCAGGAGAGGACAGUGGAAUUCCUAGUGUAGCGGUGAAAUGCGUAGAUAUUAGGAGGAACACCAGUGGCGAAGGCGACUGUCUGGACUGUAACUGACGCUGAGGCGCGAAAGCGUGGGGAGCAAACAGG